rnacentral:rRNA from 1 species
GACGAACGCUGGCGGCGUGCUUAACACAUGCAAGUCGAACGGAAAGGCCCUGCUUUUGUGGGGUGCUCGAGUGGCGAACGGGUGAGUAACACGUGAGUAACCUGCCCUUGACUUUGGGAUAACUUCAGGAAACUGGGGCUAAUACCGGAUAGGAGCUCCUGCUGCAUGGUGGUGGUUGGAAAGUUUCGGCGGUUGGGGAUGGACUCGCGGCUUAUCAGCUUGUUGGUGGGGUAGUGGCUUACCAAGGCUUUGACGGGUAGCCGGCCUGAGAGGGUGACCGGCGACAUUGGGACUGAGAGACGGCCCAGACUGCUACGGGAGGCAGCAGUGGGGAAUAUUGCACAAUGGGCGGAAGCCUGAUGCAGCAACGCCGCGUGCGGGAUGACGGCCUUCGGGUUGUAAACCGCUUUCGCCUGUGACGAAGCGUGAGUGACGGUAAUGGGUAAAGAAGCACCGGCUAACUACGUG